AUCAACCGAGAUUCCCCCAGUAGCGGCGAGCGAACGGGGAGCAGCCCAGAGCCUGAAUCAGUGUGUGUGUUAGUGGAAGCGUCUGGAAAGGCGCGCGAUACAGGGUGACAGCCCCGUACACAAAAAUACACAUACUGUGAGCUCGAUGAGUAGGGCGGGACACGUGGUAUCCUGUCUGAAUAUGGGGGGACCAUCCUCCAAGGCUAAAUACUCCUGACUGACCGAUAGUGAACCAGUACCGUGAGGGAAAGGCGA
rnacentral:rRNA from 1 species